rnacentral:rRNA from 1 species
UAGGGAAUAUUAGUAGUGGGCGAAAGCCUGAACUAGCAACGCCGCGUGUGCGAAGAAGGCCUUCGGGUUGUAAAGCACUUUUUGAGAGGAUGAGGAAGGACGGUACUCUCAGAAUAAGUCUCGGCUAACUACGUGCCAGCAGCCGCGGUAACACGUAGGAGGCGAACGUUAUCCGGAUUUACUGGGCGUAAAGCGCGUGUAGGUGGUUUGGUAAGUAGGGCGUGAAAGCUCCUGGCUCAACUGGGAGAGGCCGUUCUAAACUGCCGAACUAGAGGAUGGUAGAGGGAGGUGGAAUUCCGGGUGUAGCGGUGGAAUGCGCAGAUAUCCGGAGGAACACCAGUGGCGAAAGCGGCCUCCUGGACCAUUCCUGACACUCAGACGCGAAAGCUAGGGUAGCAAA